rnacentral:rRNA from 1 species
UACGAGGGGUGCAAGCGUUGCUCGGAAUUAUUGGGCGUAAAGGGUAGGUAGGUGGUCUCAUUUGUCAGGGGUGAAAGCCUUGGGCUUAACCCAAGAAGUGCCCCUGAAACGGUGAGACUAGAGUGCUGGAGAGGGUCGUGGAAUUCCCGGUGUAGCGGUGAAAUGCGUAGAGAUCGGGAGGAACACCAGAGGCGAAGGCGGCGACCUGGACAGCUACUGACGCUGAGGCGCGAAAGCUAGGGGAGCAAACAGG